GCAGGGGACUCAUCAGUUAAUGGUGCGUUCACAUCGAAAGGUGUGAAAUGAACGGGAUGAAUUCAGGGAAACCUUCCAGCACAGGCUGAUGGCAACCCUGAGCCAAGCCGGGGGUACACUUCCGGAAGGUGCAGAGACUACCUGGGGACUUAAGUGUCCUUAAUUACAGGCUAGAGCGUCCCGCGCCCCAGCGACUCGCAAGGUCGCGGGCGGUGAGAUAGUCCGCUCCUGCUGGAAACAGCGGG
rnacentral:ncRNA from 1 species